UCUCUGGCAUGGUGCGCGGCUGUUCGGAGGGGCGGGCUGCUGGUCGCCUCCCCAGCAGGGAACACCGCCUCCCGUGCUGAACGCGCCAGCUGCCAGCUCGAGGGGAGUCCUGGGCUGCUGCCCCUGCCCCACGGUUGGGGCAUCUAGCUUCGAGAAGCAAACCUGCACGUGAUGGGGCUGCUUUGUGAAAUCCGCCCUACCGCGGAGAUUUAUAUACCACUUAACCUCCCCCCCCCUCUGCGCCGGGGCUCCGCAGCUGAGUCCCAGCCCGCUUUGGUGAGGGGCACAGGUGAAGAUCCCUUGCUGCAGAUCCCGGAGCAGCACAGGGAUCUGCCCUUUAGCGGCUAGUCUGGAUUAACCCCUGCAGUAAGUCUUGGGCUGCCUGCUCCUGGGACUACCUGGAGGAGGAGCAGCUGAUAGCAGAUGCAGGGAGCAGCAGCCCAGUGACUCACCCCAUAACUUCCCCUGAACGACAUCCGUGUUGUGCAGAGAUCAAAGUGAGGAAGAAGAAAUGGAUCGGAAUUGCAGCAAGCCCCAAGGUUGAGGAGAAAAGCAGGGAUCCUCAGACUGCAUCAACGGUGUGUGACAACCUUGGGACUGAGAAAUGGAGAAUUUCCUCAACACCUUCCCCUAGCAACAGGACUGACAUUUCUGGGAGGUUAUGGUCCAAGUCUUUAUCUUUUUUCCUUCUCUAAUUGAAACACAGCUGAUACUCCUUCAAUCUCUGGGUGAGAAGCACUGCCACUUCUAAGUAAGGAAAGCGAACAAAAAAAAAGAUUGCAUUUUAAAUCAAAAUGCUCUCCAUGACUGACUGCUUUGCAGCAUUAGGGUAAGUCCCUUUUUUCCACAACUUAAACAAAAAUAUGCCUAAGAAAUCUAUGCCAGAAAGGCAUUUUGUUAGUUUUGUUUCGUGAAAUAAACACAGUGUUAUUGGGAAGACAGCCUUCUCUCUUUUUUUUUUUUUUUUUUCCUCCAAAUAUGUGAAAUUGUGCAUUUGCAAACAGAGCUCCUAUCCAGAAAGCCAAUUUGUCUGUGAAGGUGACAAGCCUCCAAACUUGUAAUAAAUUAUCAGCAGCAGCAUUAGAAAAGAAAAUGUAAAACAAAAUCUGCUUUGAGAAUUGACUGAAUAUUUUAUUUAUCUUUUUCUUUUAUUGAAACAUCCUUUGAAAAAUGACAUAAAAUAAAUAGUUUUACAAAGCAACAAUAUAAUCAAUCUCUAAACUAGAAUAUAAAUCAAGGAUUUCAUUAACUGCUGGUAGCCAGUUUAAAUUGUAGUCUUGUCCAUAAUGUCUAUCUAUCUAUGUAUGUCCAAGUUAUAUUAAAAACCUUUAAAUGGCUUUGUAAUAUCAGCUACAUCUAGCUAUUAUAAUAAUUAAUGAUACUGUUUUAUAAAUCAAUAUAUGUAUUCUUGAUAAAUUCAUAUCCAGUUAAUGGUGUAAUUUAAAUAAAAAAUUAAUGUAAUAAAGGACAUACUGGAAUAGGCAGGAAAUCUUUAAAGGUUAAGAGGCAAAUUUGUCUAAAUUCUUUUCUUUGUACCUAUUUUUGAGAAAGCGUCCAUUGAAAUUCAGCUGAUAUCAGGCUUGCUCUUAUGAUCACACUCUUGCCAUUAGUUUUGUAUUAACAGCAGUCACUGAGUUUUUUUGGUCAAAUGAAAGAUCCUUCAGCUAAAUGAGUAGUUUCCUCACUGGUUUCUAGCACUGCUAUAAAACUGAAAACAAAAAAAGCAGGAGGAAUUUUCUAACAUUUAUCCGAAGCCAAAAAUGGUAAAAAUGCUAUAGUUACCAUUACCUAUUGAUUCCAUAUUUGUAUUAUUACAGGGGUAUUUUGCUUAUUCUAUAAAGUGUCAAAAAAGAUUAAAUAUGAAUAUUUUGUUCCAGGCAUGAAGUGCCUUUAGAAGGCUGAGGAAACCCUGCAGAAUGCUCAGUGUAAUAAAAAUCUGUUCUUUAUCUCUUGUUUUAAAUACAGUUAAUCCAGUUUAUUCAGCAAACACAUCUAAGAGCAACUUAAGGGGAAAAAAAAGGAAAUUGCCUUUUUAUUUUUCUAGGUUGCACGUUGGUGAGAAACCGUGGCUCUGUUCCUCUGCUUUUAUUUAUAGUCAGUAACCACAAAAUGUAUCUCUAAGAAUAACAUGGGAUUUUAAUAGGCAAUAUUAAUUGUUCUUACCGUAACUUUUGAUCUUAGAUGUUUAAAACAAAAGCCUGCUGCCUGUUUACAUACUGAAUGUUUUAUGAAGAAUAUCUUUUUGAAAUUAUGCAAAACAUUAAGCUUUGUCAUCCACACUGACAUGGUACAGAAAUGUCAUUUUAAUCCAUCGAGAUUUUUUUUUGACGUUUUCCUUAACAUUGCUCUGCCUUAUUUAGAGCAGCAACAGCAAUCUGUGCAGCUUCUCGUGACACUGACGGGGAUUUCAAAAUGUUGCACGGAGGGAAGGGAGGAAGAAAAAGGAAUUUGCUGCCACUCACUUCAGCAAUCCAGCUACAUAAGCUGCCGCUAUUUGCUAAAAGUUUACAUUUCAAAUGAGCUUUGAAUUUAAAGAUGCAUUAUCUCCACUCUGGGCCGAUGUUUGGAAAUGGAGGGAGAAAACAGAGCGCAAUCAUGACUGUGUGUUAAAGCGUGCCCGAGCGUUUGCAACAUGCCCAUUUAAAAUGCAUUUUGUUUCCAGACGAAACUAGGAGCAAGAAAUACACAGCCAUUCCUGUGAGGCUUAAUUUAGGCUUUAUAGGUAAAACCAGCAAACGGUUGUUGCCACUUUUGCUGCUUUAACGUCAGAGAAGCCAGCACCUCUGAAGCUUUCAAGGGAACAGUCCCCCUGUUAUUGCUUCUCAGUUCCAAGGUCUUAGAAUAAAUAACAUUGUUAUUACUCACUUCACCAAUUUCCAAGAAGAAAUAUUGCUGCAGCAAAUGCGAACAGCACUAAUAUUUGCAAAGUGAUAAAUGGGUCGCCACAUACCUUCCAGUCUGUGUGGCCUCCCGCCAUCCCCAGACCAUCCACGGCUCUCCGCCAGCGCGGCCCGGGCAUCGCCGCCACGGAAGCCACGCGGCCUUCCCUCCUCCCGGAAAAGGAAAGGUGAAAACGCCUCUGCUCAGCCGGAAAAGGCUUGCGAGGGAGCACAGUGAUGCCCGGACUUCUGCAGCUUCCCCCCCCUCAAGCAUCCCCAGCGCCUAAAGAGAACCCCCAAUUCUUGGGGUGCUGGAGGAGCAGAGAUGUUCGGCGGUGUGGAAGAGGGAAAGGCGCAUUCCCCGCAGCCCUUUGCCUCUCUUUGGAGGCAUCGUAUUCACAGCAAACCUGCUUGCCCGCGGCCAGAGCGAGGGAGUCGCGGCCCUUGCACCCCAAAGCGGUACUGGCAGGGGAGCUCCCGACCGGAUUGCCUCCCUUAAAAAGAUGCUGCAAGCUAAGAAUUCGCCAGUAAUGAUUUAAAAAAAGGGGAAGUAAUUUUUUUUUUUUAAGUAGCAAUAUAUAUGUAUGAUGCAGACUCCUCAUUUUUAUUUGAAACAAAAUCGCCAAAUCAAAUUAUUCCUACGACAUGAGUCAUCCAGAAAAACGCUCCGAAUGUGCAGUAAUUAAAACCAAAGCCAAACCUUCAGACCCACAACACAAAGCGAUCCAAAUAGCCACUGACAGUGGGUCAUUAAAAAAAAAAAAAAGCCCCCUUUUUUCUCUCUCCCGCAAAGGGCCCAGGUUUUGCUGCGAAGCCGUUCCUGGCUCCUUGUAACCUGCUGACGUGGUUUUGACGGUGCCCUUGGUGUUUCCAGGCUGCAGCCCAUGGGCUUGGGGCAGGCAGGAGCCGCUGGGGGUUUUGGGGUGGUUUGGUAUGAAUUCCCGGGUGGGAGUGAAGGCCUUCACCUGAGGUUAGCCACGCCACGGGGACGACGGAAAAGCUCAAACUCGGCUGCUCGGCAGCCCUGGUCGCCCCUGCUCUGGUGCUCCCGGGUCCCUUCUGCAGGGCCAGCGACACCCAGCAGGCUGUAAGUAUCUGAAGUAUAAAGCACAUAAUUUAGCUGGUCAUAACCAAGGUGUUAGUUAAUAUCCUUACAGCUAUAAAGCGACGCCUGUAACUGUGGAAAAGGGGUUUUUAUAUCUCAAACAUCCGCCAGCAAGCCUGCCUUCCCGGGAUUUCCCUCCCUUCCAGCCCAGGGAACCAGCGUCCUGCACUUGUAAAAGCCUGUGCACAGUAUGCACAGGUCGAUAUCAUCCAUAAAAAGGGAUAGUUUGUAUUGGUUCGUAAUCAAAGCAUUAACACACAAACUAUCCAUAAUACUCUCUCAUAAAAGUAUAUGUCGGUCUGUAGGUUCAUACAACUAUAAAUAUGUAUGCAACUAUAUAUAUAUAUAGGCAACUACAUAUAUAUAAUAUAUAUAUAUAUGUGCACACAUAUUAUACACGUGCACACCUAAAAAUACAGCUUGUCAUAAAUGAAAAAAUGCAAAUUUAUCUAAGGAAAAAUGAUAAAGGGAGCUGGCAUGGUGAGAGCUUUGGCAUUUUCAUCUUGGUGAGCUGCCUUACAGUUUGGGAACGUUCAUAAACCUCGCUCAAAAUUUAUCAGCUAUUUCUAACUCUAGGAACGGAGCUGGGAAUGCCUCGAGAACAUGUUUUCUUGAGUGAUUUCUGCCCUUCCUGGUUUCCCAGUUAGGCAGGAAGCCCUGGGAGAUUAGCAUUUCUUGGGCAUUCGGCUUCCAGCCCCUGCCAAAGCCAGGAAGUGUGCAGGUACGAAGAAAAAUCAGAAUAACCAAAUAGGUACAAAACAUCUACACAUGCGUGCACACAUUUAUGUAAACAGCAGCUUUGGAAAAAAAAAAAAAUUGGGUCUUCAUUUUUUUUUAUUAUUUCUUUUCCUCAAACCUCAAAAAAAAGAAAAAAAAAGCCAAGGCAGUUCUUAUUUUAUCCAGACCAGUUCAUAAAUCCCAAGUCAUAAAUCCCCGUGAUAUCCCGGGCUGCUGGAUUUUGCAUUUGGAGCUGGGAAAGACGGAAAGCUGAAAGAUUUACAAAAUCCCAGGUAGCCGGUGCUCCCUGUUGGCUGCGCAUCUGAGGGGCCUCUCGCCCUGCAGCGCGGGUGGGACGCACCGUGCUCGCGAAGCGGCCCCGCUCUGCCGGCUUCGGGCACCGAGAGCGCGUGCAGAGGGCUAAAAGGGGGGUUUGGGGGCCUUUUCCCCGGGGUCCUGGGCGUAGCCCUAUGCCAAGGAGCCCGGGGGCUUCCCGAGGUGCUGCCCUGGGGCCUCCCUCGGAAUUAUGCCAUGGCUCCGGCUCUGCGGUUCAGAAACGCUAUUUACGUUGUACGGCAGAUCAGACCAUAAAUAGUAAAAUUGCUUCGGCCGUAUCAGACGUGCAUUCAAUUUUGUUCCUUUACCAGGGGUGAUCGUUGGAUAAUAAUCACUGCUAUAAGGGGGGGGGGGGGGGGCAGAGGGGCCGUCCCGCUGCAGCGCAGGGGUGUCCCGGGACAAAAGCGCUCCCCGAGUCUGGCCCGCUGCAGAGCAACGGCACUGUUCACCACCGCUGCAGCACACUGGAAACCCACCUGCAGCCUUCCCUCUGCUGUUUUCCUCCUCUCCUCCUCUGUGACCUUAUUCGAGGCUAACGUUUUUCUCCAGGCUUGCAAAGACAGGCAUUUUUAAUGUGCUUCUGUUGCAUUAAUAAAAAGAUAUUAAAAAAAAAGCCCUCUUCUGCAGUUACAGGAGUUCCUUUAUAGUUGUAAGGAUAUAAACCAACAUCUUUGUUACCGAGCAGCUAAAUUAUUUGCUUUAUAUUUCAGAUAUUUGUAUUCAGGGGCCUGAAUGCAGUGACAUGGGUGGGGAAAGUCCUCCUUCGGCCUCCUUAGGAAGGAUGGUGGAAUCAACGUGGGGUCAGAUCGGUUUGUGUUGACGUUUUAUUAGAAGCGCACUGUCACGCUAAACCUGGGUCUUUUUUUUUUUUUUUUUUUGCUUGUUUCUAUUAGUGGCAAUUAAAGUAUUAGGUUUAGUGCAAGCAACUGGACUUGCAAGCUGCAGCAGGCCUUUUCUCCACGAAGAUCACCAUGUUCAUUAGAAACGACUACUCAUUUAAGAGGUCAAACUAAACUGGACACAAGCAGACCAAAACAUUUAUAUGAGGACCAUAUUAGAAUUACGGCAGGGCCGUUUUCCCCCUGAACCAGUGGGGUCAAGAUUCUUUUCUAUUUUCCUGCGAACUGAGGUUCCUCUGGUUACAAGAUCCCAGGAGCAGAAGCUGGGAAAACACCCGUGGACAUAAGCGCACCGUGACACCUGUAGCAGUGAAGGGAGCACGAAACUGGGCAUUCUGCAUCGCUGCAAGCCGUAACGUUUUACAGCUCCAUGGAAGACAGGAUUUUGCAGCCACAAAAGACGCAAAGCUGAUGUUCACCACAUCACAGCUCCAAUCUUUUUCUUUUUUUAACCAGCAAUAGUGAAAUGAUGUGAUUUUUUUUUAACAUGCAAACAGGAAUAAAAAGCCUGAACACACCCUG